GCCCAGCUGGCUCAGUGGGUGGAGCAUGUGACUCUUGAUCUCAGGGUUGUAGGUUCAAGACCCAUGUUGGGUA
rnacentral:tRNA from 1 species